rnacentral:lncRNA from 1 species
AAGAUUCUUCGUCUCCGUGUUUAACUCUUGAAUUGCUGCUGGACAGGCUUCGAUGAACUUGUCCACUAUGUAUGUAAUCCCCAUCUUUGCUGCAUCUAAAAUGGCUUCCUCCUUUCUUUCUGUUCAUUUACCAAGCAGGAGCAGCCUAACUGUUCAUGAACUAGUAAAGAAACUAUAAUAUAUAAUAUGAAUUGAAAAGUUUGGUCAUCACCUCCCAAGUGUGGCACAAACUUAUUAUUGACUAGAGAGCUCUGAGAUGUCUGGUCAUCGAAUCCAGGAGGUUUUCGGCCGCUGUCUUGGUACUUGUAAAGUG